ACCGGUUCUCGUUAGAUCACCGAAGUUAAGCAUCAUUGGGCGCGGUCAGUACUUGGGUGGGUGACCACCUGGGAACACCGCGUGCCGUU